UCGGAUCGUUUUAGAAACAUUCAGGGGCCAACAGUUUCAGGAUUGUUGAGCUCCAUUGGCGGGAUUUCGCCGUCUUCGUUUCUCUUUCUUCGCGGACGAACACGCGCCAGGGGCUUAGCGCUGUGCGGUCGCAUUCGGCGCUGGUCGUCGGUUGCGUGCACGCAAGAUCCCUAGUCCUAUGAAGGAUAGCGUUAGGGGCUUGUAGCUCAGUUGGUUAGAGCGCGCGCUUGAUAAGCGUGAGGUCGGAAGUUCAAGUCUUCCCAGGCCCACCACUUUCAUCGAGUGAGCAUUCGUCUUCUGGUUACGGGGCCAUAGCUCAGCUGGGAGAGCGCGUGCUUUGCAAGCAUGAGGUCGUCGGUUCGAUCCCGUCUGGCUCCACCAGAUGGUUUGAUCACCAACGGCGUAACCGUCGUCCGCGAAACAUCACUUCGCACUCAUUGGUCCGGAUGGACGGUGACGUGCGUGUUUUCUGACAUCGUAAAGAGGAGAUCGAUCCGAGUUUGGAUCAAGCGAAGCAAUUCGCCUGAGCCAUUCACUAUCUCCGGGAUCAUUUCGGCGCUCGCGCAUCGCAAUUCAUCGCAAGAUGAGUGAGAUGAGCGGGUUGUAAAUGAUCUCUGUUAGCGAAGCUUGACCGCCUCGCUAUCGGGCCGAUCUUACGAAGCAAGCUGGUCUUUCUAGUCAAUGUCCGGCUGUGUGAUCGCAUUCGUCGAGGAUGCGCGCCUUCAAUGGCAGUUGCACAGACAGCAUUCUGCCGAGUGUGUGGACAUUGAUAAUGAGAGCAAUCAAGUGCCUUAAGGGUGUUCGGUGGAUGCCUUGGCGCUGAGAGGCGAUGAAGGACGUGCUACGCUGCGAUAAGCCGUGGGGAGCUGCGAAGAAGCUUUGAUCCGCGGAUUUCCGAAUGG
rnacentral:misc_RNA from 1 species